rnacentral:rRNA from 1 species
AUUGAACGCUGGCGGCAGGCCUAACACGUGCAAGUCGAACGGUAACAGGAAGAAGCUUGCUUCUUUGCUGACGAGUGGCGGACGGGUGAGUAAUGUCUGGGAAACUGCCUGAUGGAGGGGGAUAACUACUGGAAACGGUAGCUAAUACCGCAUAACGUCGCAAGACCAAAGAGGUGGACCUUCGGGGCUCUUGCCAUCGGAUGUGCCCAGAUGGGAUUAGCUAGUAGGUGGGGUAACGGCUCACCUAGGCGACGAUCCCUAGCUGGUCUGAGAGGAUGACCAGCCACACUGGAACUGAGGCACGGUCCAGACUCCUACAGGAGGCAGCAGUGGGGAAUAUUGCACAAUGGGCGCAAGCCUGAUGCAGCCAUGCCGCGUGUAUGAAGAAGGCCUUCGGGUUGUAAAGUACUUUCAGCGGGGAGGAAGGGAGUAAAGUUAAUACCUUUGCUCAUUGACGUUACCCGCAGAAGAAGCACCGGCUAACUCCGUG